rnacentral:rRNA from 1 species
AUUGAACGCUGGCGGCAGGCUUAACACAUGCAAGUCGAGCGGGGUGAAGUGCUUCGGUACUGAUCCUAGCGGCGGACGGGUGAGUAAUGCUUAGGAAUCUGCCAUUUAGUGGGGGACAACAUUCCGAAAGGGAUGCUAAUACCGCAUACGUCCUACGGGAGAAAGCAGGGGAUCUUCGGACCUUGCGCUAAAUGAUGAGCCUAAGUCGGAUUAGCUAGUUGGGGGGGUAAAGGCCUACCAAGGCGACGAUCUGUAGCGGGUCUGAGAGGAUGAUCCGCCACAAUGGGACUGAGACACGGCCCAGACUCCUACGGGGGGCAGCAGUGGGGAAUAUUGGACAAUGGGCGGAAGCCUGAUCCAGCCAUGCCGCGUGUGUGAAGAAGGCCUUUUGGUUGUAAAGCACUUUAAGCGAGGAGGAGGCUACCUGGAUUAAUACUCUGGGAUAGUGGACGUUACUCGCAGAAUAAGCACCGGCUAACUCUGUGCCAGCCGCCGCCGUAACAC